rnacentral:rRNA from 1 species
UGGGGAAUAUUGCGCAAUGGACGAAAGUCUGACGCAGCGACGCCGCGUGGAGGAUGAAGCCCCUUGGGGCGUAAACUCCUUUCGACCAAGACGAUAAUGACGGUACUGGUGGAAGAAGCACCGGCUAACUCUGUGCCAGCAGCCGCGGUAAUACAGAGGGUGCAAGCGUUGUUCGGAAUUAUUGGGCGUAAAGGGCGCGUAGGCGGCGCGGUAAGUCACCUGUGAAAUCUCCAAGCUUAACUUGGAGCCUGCAGGCGAAACUGCCGUGCUGGAGUAUGGGAGAGGUGCGUGGAAUUCCCGGUGUAGCGGUGAAAUGCGUAGAGAUCGGAAGGAACACCAGUGGCGAAGGCGGCUACCUGGCCAAAUACUGACACUGAAGCACGAAAGCGUGGGGAGCAAACAGG